ACUCAAAUGAAUUGACGGGGACCCGCACAAGCGGUGGAACAUGUGGUUUAAUUCGAGGCAACGCGAAGAACCUUACCAGGCCUUGACAUGCCCCUCGCGGACACCAGAAAUGGCGUCCUUCGGUUCGGCCGGAGGGAGCACAGGUGCUGCAUGGCUGUCGUCAGCUCGUGUCGUGAGAUGUUGGGUUAAGUCCCGCAACGAGCGCAACCCUCGUCCUCUGUUGCCAACAGGUAAUGCUGGGAACUCUGAGGAAACUGCCGGUGAUAAGCCGGAGGAAGGUGGGGAUGACGUCAAGUCCUCAUGGCCCUUACGGCCUGGGCUACACACGUGUUACAAUGGCGGUGACAAUGCGCUGCUACUCUGCAAGGAGAUGCCAAUCGCAAAAAGCCGCCUCAGUUCGGAUUGUACUCUGCAACUCGAGUACAUGAAGCUGGAAUCGCUAGUAAUCGCGCAUCAGCUCGGCGCGGUGAAUACGUUCCCGGGUCUUGCACACACCGCCCGU
rnacentral:rRNA from 1 species